AUGCCGGUGGCGAUGGGGUACCAUUACCUUGGUCCGGGGAAGGCCCAGCUCCAUCAGGCGAUGACGGUGUUGUCUCUGCAUCGUCACAGUCCUUGUUUGGCCGACCUCUAUUGGUUGGGCCAUCCUUGUCGUGAGGAUUCGGGCCACGUCCUGGCUUGGGGCAAUGUGGAUUUUUCACUGGCCCUACACCAUUGGAUUUAUGAUCACCACUCCCAUAGGAGGCCUUCCCAUUUCCACCCGCAGAGCCCUUGUCAUCAGCUUGGGAUACGUGGGCAGCAAGCACAAGAAUCAGGAGGGGAAGAACUACAACUAGCAGUGAUCUCAUCGUAG
rnacentral:rRNA from 1 species